GAAAUGCGAUAAGUAAUGUGAAUUGCAGAAUUCAGUGAAUCAUCGAAUCUUUGAACGCACCUUGCGCUCCUUGGUAUUCCUUGGAGCAUGCCUGUUUGAGUAUCAUGAAAUCUUCAAAGUAAAUCUUUUGUUAACUCAAUUGGUUUCUACUUUGGUAUUGGAGGUCUUUGCAGCUUCACACCUGCUCCUCUUUGUUCAUUAGCUGGAUCUCAGUGUUAUGCUUGGUUCCACUCGGCGUGAUAAGUUAUCUAUCGCUGAGGACACUGUAAAAGGUGGCCAAGGUUAAUGCAGAUGAACCGCUUCUAAUAGUCCAUUGACUUGGACAAUACUUUUAUGAUCUGAUCUCAAAUCAGGUAGGACUACCCGCUGAACUUAAGC
rnacentral:misc_RNA from 1 species